rnacentral:rRNA from 1 species
CCCUAGGUGAUGUGCCGGCCAUCCCCCGGUCCCCUGGCUAUUUAAGAGUGAGGCCCUGAGCUCACUCGACCGAAACCCUAGCUUCUCCCCCUCCUCCUCGCGCCUCUUCCCUAUCUCCCCCGAACAACCGCAUCGUGGUCGCCAUGGACCUCAUCGAUCCCGCGGCCACAGGCCUCCCCGUCACCAGCUAGCAUGCCCGGGAGCUUCCCUGCGGUCGCCUCCUUCGACUACACCGAAGAACUUGUGCCGGAGGCCCCAUAGCCUCGCCAUCGUCCUCAUCUUCUCCCACGGGCACCGACAUCCAUCGCCGGUUCCCGCUACUCCGGGCCGCCCCCGACCUCCCAACCUCGUCCACAAGCACUGGGACCACGAGACCACUGCUGAUGCCAUUGUGAUCGACUACGUUGACGACGACCCUCCUUCUUGUCUGAG